CGGGGGCCCGCACAAGCGGUGGAGCAUGUGGUUUAAUUCGAUGCAACGCGAAGAACCUUACCUACUCUUGACAUCCAGAGAACUUAGCAGAGAUGCUUUGGUGCCUUCGGGAACUCUGAGACAGGUGCUGCAUGGCUGUCGUCAGCUCGUGUUGUGAAAUGUUGGGUUAAGUCCCGCAACGAGCGCAACCCUUAUCCUUUGUUGCCAGCGGUCCGGCCGGGAACUCAAAGGAGACUGCCAGUGAUAAACUGGAGGAAGGUGGGGAUGACGUCAAGUCAUCAUGGCCCUUACGAGUAGGGCUACACACGUGCUACAAUGGCAUAUACAAAGAGAAGCGACCUCGCGAGAGCAAGCGGACCUCAUAAAGUAUGUCGUAGUCCGGAUUGGAGUCUGCAACUCGACUCCAUGAAGUCGGAAUCGCUAGUAAUCGUGGAUCAGAAUGCCACGGUGAAUACGUUCCCGGGCCUUGUACACACCGCCCGUCACACCAUGGGAGUGGGUUGCAAAAGAAGUAGGUAGCUUAACCUUCGGGAGGGCGCUUACCACUUUGUGAUUCAUGACUGGGGUGAAGUCGUAACAAGGUAACCGUAGGGGAACCUGCGGUUGGAUCACCUCCUUA
rnacentral:rRNA from 1 species